rnacentral:rRNA from 1 species
GUUGUUGCAGUUAAAAAGCUCGUAGUUGGAUUUGUGGUGUGUCUAGUCGGCCUUUGCUCUUUGAGUGAUUGUGCUGUACUGGUCUGCCAUGUUUGGGUGGAAUCUGUGUGGCAUUAGGUUGUCGUGCAGGGGAUGCCCAUCGUUUACUGUGAAAAAAUUAGAGUGUUCAAAGCAGGCUUAUGCCGUUGAAUAUAUUAGCAUGGAAUAAUGAUAUAGGACCUUGGUACUAUUUUGUUGGUUUGCGCACUAAGGUAAUGAUUAAGAGGGACAGUUGGGGGUAUUUGUAUUCCAUUGUCAGAGGUGAAAUUCUUGGAUUUUUGGAAGACAAACUACUGCGAAAGCAUUUACCAAGGAUGUUUUCAUUAAUCAAGAACGAAAGUUAGGGGAUCGAAGAUGAUUAGAUACCAUC